rnacentral:lncRNA from 1 species
GAAGGAAGGAAAGAAAGAAAGAGAAAAAGGAAGAAAGAAGAAAGAAAGAAAGAAAGAAAGAAAGAAAGAAAGAAAGAAGACAAAGUUGACUUUGCUCAUUCAUCCCUGCAUCCCAGUCCACAAUUUUGUUUGUAUAUUAGAAUUCAGGUAUGGAAUGGGAAAAAAUAAACUGUGAUACGUAACAGCACCUUAGCCCCUUCUCACUGGCCCUACUUUCUUUGCCUGAAAGGAGAUUUAGGCCAAACUGGGAAAAAUUUCAGCCCCAGCUUGGCCAAGUUGCCUGAUGGUAUCAUAGCUCAAUUUCCUCAUCUGUAUGAUGGGGGUAUAAUAGUACCUAUUAUUAUUUACCUCAUUUCUGGAUACACUGUAUGUCCCCACUUGUGAUUCUUCCUUUGCACUUUCACAUACAAUGGGCUACUCUGUUAGAAAGCUCUUUCUUAUAUUAAGCUAAAAUUGGUCCCACUAGUCCAAGGUCUACCUGUUAGAAAUUAUGGAACAAAUCUAACCCCAUUUCUAUAUAACACUUUUGGGGGUGGCACAAAUACCCAUCGGGGAUGCACACAUGCACUUUAUUUGCUACAUAAGCAUAGCACAGGUGCUCAGAGUCACAGUCAACCAUUCUGAGAACUUAAGGGAGAAGCAGCCCAAUUCAUGGCUCCAUCCCUGACUAUCUGUCUCUGCUACAGGAGUCAGUGUGACAUAGUGGAAAGAAAACAGAUGUUUAAGUCAGAAGUUCCUGGAGGCAACUUCUGACCCUACCCAGUGUGAGGUGAGUCAUUUAACCUCUUUGAACCUCAAACUCAAAUAAUCUCAUCCGUAAAAUGAUCAGGGGCUCCAACUGAAAAAAAGAUGUAACAGUAACUAUUUGAAUUUCCACCUUAAAAUAUUUUACCAGAGUUUCAAACAUUUAAACAAAAGCAUCCAAUAAAAUAACAUCAAAGACUUUUCAAAUAUUCCAACAAAUGGCUAUUGCUGAUACAUUAAAUGUGAAUAACUUCACUUCUUUUUUAUCAUUUAAUUUCCAAAUUUAAAAAAAUAACAAUAAGGGUGACAGUACUUUUAGAUCAUGUCAUAUGGAGUCAGAAAAAAAGCUGAAACUGUUCUGUGAUUCAUAAAAGGUUCCUAAAACCACCAGACAAGGCUUCGAGGAAUAGGAAAAGGGAGCUGGAAGCCCAGGGAGGAGGUGUUCUUAUGUCCCUCAGGGUCCCCCAAUCCUCAAGCCUAUGGACACGAAACUGUGGGAGAGAGGAGAGAAGGAGGCCCAAGGCCUGUAGAGAAUUUGCACUCCUUGACUAGGGGGAAGCCCCAGUACUUCCCUUGCACUGGAUUUCCCCAGCCACCUCACUUUCAAGUCAUAGUUGCUGGGAUCCUCUAUCUUCAGGACCUUGGACAAGUUCUCCCAGUGAUGCACCAGAGAAAUGUCUUUGCUCAACUGUUCAUCAUCCAUGGAGUUAGAAAACCUUUGUGUUGAGUGGAACCCCAGAGGGAGACCAUUGAAUGUGUUAUAAGAAACAGACUCUUUGCCACUCAAGAGGCACCAUGUUUUGUCAUACAUCAGCACCUUUCCUCUGGCUGUACCCCAGCCCUCAUUCCUAAAAAAAUGUUAUUUCCCCACAUCUUGACCUAUGUCUAAGUGAGAGGCUGUCUUCUGUGUAACGUUUUCUCACACUGGUCUUUCUGAUUUCCUAUACCUCUUAAUGAGCAUAUUCUUAUAGAAAGAGUAUACGAGAAACUGUUUUUGUCUAUCUCAUGUGCUUGGCACAGUGUAUCUGUUUAUUCUUUUUCUACCUUUGUCACUACAAUCUACGUCCUAUCCCAGACACUGAUACUGUCCUCCUUUCUCCUUCUCUACACCACAAAACCACUCUUAAGGUUUGUCUGGACUUGCUCUUCCACUUCCUUUCUCACCCCCUACCCUACAUCCCUUUCUAUCCUAAGUCGUGUAAGUUGUGUGUUUCUUACCCCCAAUGAAACUGAACCCUUAAAGGCAUACCAUGACUUCUAAAUCUCCUACCUGCCAAGAAACUCAGUGCUAAAUCUAGUGCUCAACUGCAGCACUUAACUCACUUCUAGUGCCACCUUCUAGUUCAUUAUUGAGCUGUCUUCUUAAAAUGUUUAUUUCAGUUCUCCUACUUAAUGUGUGUUAUAAUCUUUUAAGUAUCUUCAAAUACAUUUUGGGAAAGGGCAAGAAAUAACUACUUGUUACCAAAGUCACUGAGUCCCGUGGUUCCUUCUCAGCUCGCACCCACCUCUGCCCUUCUCUAACUUUUGAUGCUGCUGCUGGCUGUCACAUGGAAACACCCUCCUUGUUCCAUCUCUGUCAUGCUCUGUCUCUACUUUCUUUGCUCUCUCCUUGUCCUGCCUGAGGCAGACACAGUUCCUGCCAUUUGCCCUAGUUCUCUCUUCCCCUUGUUUCUACUUUCUUUCAUCCCCACCCCAUUCUCUCUCCAAUGGAUGUCCCACUCAGUGCCAUGGUUCAACUAGGACUGAGAUGUCAAUGACAUGGGUGCCAGUUCAGGCUCAAGCCCCAGGACUACAUUUCCAGUGGCCUCUUCAACAGUUCUUGGAAAUGCUAUGGGUACCCCAGACUUGAUAGAUCUAAAAUUUUCUUUCAUCUUCUUCCCAUCCUCUUCAUUUUUAUUAAUGACAUCACCAGAUCCUUGGUCUCCUAGAUUUCAAAUUUCAGAGCCAUCUUAUACUCCUUGCUUUCCAUUAUUCCAUAAUCCAUUAAUAGCCAAAUGCUGCCAGAUCAGCAUCCUCCAUGUCCCACAUUUGUCUCCUCUUUUCUAUCCCCUCUGCCUCUGUCCUAGCUCCAACUCUCAUUCGUGCUUCCUUCCCUAUAUCCCUGCUGCAGUCCCCUAUUUGGCUUCCCUGCUUCUAGUCCUUCCCAAUGCCAAUAUGGUUUUACACUGUGCCAGAAUAAUCUUCCAUAAAUACCUCUCUGACCAUAUGACCCCCUGUUCCUAUACCUCUGAUGCCUGCCCAGUGCCUAGAGAACAAAGGCCAGAUGACUUGGCAUUCCAGUCAAGACCCUACAGGAUUUGGGCACCAAGAUCCUUUUCCUUACUGUCAUCUAUUUCCCCUGCCUUUUAGUUCCAGAAAACUCCUUGUCCUUUCUCUCUUCCUUGCCUUGAUUCAUACUCUUCCCGUCUCUUCAUCAAUACCUAACCAGUUUUCAAAUGCUUCCCUGCCUAAAUCUUUCCUAAUCUCUCUAGCGAGACCCAUCUUUCUCAUCUGUAUUUUGCUAAACCUUUAUUAACAUUUGGUAUCAGUCUUACAGGGAACUCAUUUUUUUUAAAAAAAUUCCUAUAUGCUGGGCUAUGUGUUUCACAUUUUGUACUUUUCAAUGUUUACAAUUCCAUGAAAUGGGUUUAUUAAAACCAUUUUGUAGAUGGAAUAACAGGUUCAUAAAGCCAAGCUACAUGGGCAGUGAAGCACAGUGGCUCUUCAGACCAUACUCCCUACACUCUUUACACACCAGAUAACCUCUUUUAAAUAAGUAUUCCACUUCGUCCUCCCUUAAGAGCUACAGAAAUCUAAGAGAACUGAUAUGACUACUUAAUAGUGAUAAAGUAGCUCUGUCUUUGGACUGUCCUAGUCCCAGUUCUUUGUGUGGCUUUUCUCCUUUUAGACCCUCUUCUGAUAUUUGGUUACUAUUGCCUUUUAAAGGUUUCAUUAUUAUGCAUAAUGUAUUCAUCGAAGGGCAGCAUUUCCUGUAAUUUAUGUCUCUUCAUUUUACUACUCAGCA